ACGGUAGGAGCUGAGGCAGGAUUGCUUCAAAUUCCGUUCGUAAAGCAACGUUAGUUUCAUUUGAAAGCGCUACUGAACACGAACGACGGACGAUUCGUGAUGUAUUUUUGGAGUUUUGGCUCUUAAUGCCGUAUACGAACAGUUCAAAUCUCCCGUGCUUUGGUGUCACCAGUGCAGUGCCGAAGUCUUCAGUGAUGGGUUAGCUUGUGCGGCUCUUCUAAGUAAAGUGAUGCGAUAUGUUCGUGGAAGUCAUUCGGUGGUCAGGAUUUCUUCAAAUAGUUAUGAUUGUUUUCAAUUGCAAUCUUAGUGUUUCUGCUCCUUAUAGGGAAUCUUCGAAUAGUAAUAUUCCAAUGAAGGUGAUUUGGGGUGUACCUGCAAAAGAUGUGGAAUUGCCGUGCGAUGUUACUCCUCCGCUUCCAUCCGAUUCUGUAACAAUGGUAUUUUGGUACAAAGAUGAAGGAACAAUGGCUAUGUAUAGCUUGGACGCCAGAGGUAUACCGUUGGAAAAGGCUUCUCAUCUGGCAGCCAGUCAAGACGUCGGCGCCAGGUCUUACUUCAUAGCCGAUCACCCAUCUAGAGCACGACUGAAAAUACAAAACGUCACACUCGAAGACGAAGGAGUGUUUCGUUGCCGCGUGGAUUUCCUCAACUCUCCAACAAGAAACUUCAAAGUCAACCUUACAUUAGUAGAGCUUUCGUCGACACCAAAGAUAUUCAGUGCCGAAGGUAAGCUGAUAAAAACGGAAGCCGGUCCGUUUCUGGAAGGUCAAGAACUUUUCCUCUCGUGCCAGGUGGAAGGAGGUCGACCAAGACCGUCUUUGACCUGGUGGUUCAACGGAUCGGUUCUGGACAACGUAGUCGAUACUAAAAAGGGAGCUUACACCACUGUCAAUCAACUUGUCAUAUCGAGACUACCUAGGGAGUACAAGGGCGGAAAGCUCGAAUGUAGAGCCUCUUCGAUGGACAUUGCGGAUGUGAUCAUUCGUGAAGUACCGCUAAUAAUAUAUCUGCGUCCAAAUAAAGUAAAAAUUGUGACACCAAACGAUUUGAUGUCAUCAGCAAAAACCCACACGUCCAAAUGCGAGACAUCUGGUUCUUAUCCACCGGCAAAGCUGACGUGGAUAUUGAAUGGAAGGACAAUAAAAAGUUCAGUGCUGACGGAGGAAGAGAACGAGGCCUUUUCGAGUAGUAUAGUGUCGUUGAGCGUUGAGGCCGAGGACGAUGGCACAGAGCUCGUCUGCAGGGCGGACAACCCUAGAUUCCCAGGAGGAUCUCUGGAAGACCGAAGGCAAAUACAUGUUGCAUAUUCUCCGAAAGUCGCUGUAAAGAUGCAUGGUGAUGUUACGUCAACUAUCAAAGAAGGCUCAAGCAUUGAUCUGUUAUGCAGUACAAAGUCUAAACCAGCUGCACAUAAUUACAAUUGGUAUUAUAAUGGUCACUUGGUGCGUUACAACCUGACUGCCGGUUUCCUCCCAGUGGACGACAAACUAACACUUAGGAAUAUUAAAAAGGCUGCUGCCGGAGAGUAUUCCUGUUCAGCGACGAAUACGGAGGGUGAAACCUAUAGCCCGCCUUUCCACCUGGGAGUGCAAUAUGCUCCCCGUUGUAAAGUUGGUUUCGAAGAAAUGCGAGUAGGAAUAAUGCAUGAUGAAGAGAUUAUAGUACACUGUCACGUGGAUGCUACACCGGAAGACGUGCGAUUCUCUUGGACAUAUAAUACGAGCAGGGGCGUGUUUCCUGUCCAAGCUGCAAAUAUUCAGAACAAGGGUACAAUGUCGACCCUUCACUUUACUACUAGGAACGUAGACAUUGAGUCGCUCUCUUGUUGGGCCUCUAACAUCGUAGGACGUCAAGAGGUUCCUUGCUUAUUCCACGUCGUUCCAGCUAAUAGACCUGAAUCACCAAGAAACUGUGUUUUGAAUAAUUCCACAGCUGGUUCUGUGGAAAUAGUGUGUUCAGCUGGAGCAGACGGUGGUUUAGCCCAAAGUUUCGUGCUUGAAGUAUCGGAUCUUACCGGCGUACAAAACGCUGAAAGUAUAAGUACGUUAAGUGAUCAAGCGGAAUAUGUAACGCCUCUCUUUCGAGUACUCGGAGAGGAGCCGAUUUUUAAACUACACAGUCUCCAACCUGGACGAAGUUAUCAAGCCGUCGUUUAUGCGCAGAAUGCGAAGGGGCGAUCAAAACCUCCUGUAAUCCUUUCGAACGUAAGGGUGGAUAACGUUUUGGAAAUAAUUAAUAGUGGGAUAGAUCGAGAUAAUCUUAAUUCAAAUGGAAUGGAAGAGGGGUUCCCCGUUAAGCAAAACAUUACGUUGUUAUUAAUCACUCUGGUUGCUUCAAUAUUUCUCCUAAUCAUAUGCAUUGUCUGCACAGCGAGUAUGUUAGCUUGUAAAAAGAAUAAUAACGUUGCACAAACGGUCGUUAUGAGACGACCGAGGAGGUGUAGUAAACCGAACGAGGAUUUGGAGCUGUCCGAGGCGGGAUUUGGAGAAGGAUUUCAUCGGAGAAGUGCUCAGUACAGGGCCAGCAUGUACGCGCAAGAAAUUGAUCAAGACUCCAGCGGUCAGAGGCAAACAGUUUUUUAUGGAUUUGUUUGACGUCUGUCUAUGUAUAUAGAAACGGUUUUAUGUGGAUUUUAAAACCGAUACGUAUCCGUGAAAGGAGAUGCAAUUGCAAGUUGUUAAUGGAUCUUUUA
rnacentral:misc_RNA from 1 species